UACUUGCUCCUCUCCCAUUUUCCUGUAAAAAUAUCCAAAUGUCCAAAUUUCAGAAACCGCCUCGGUAUUACUUGAUGGAGGAGUCAUCUCAGUUCAACUCAAAUUGAUUUUAUUUUUUAGAAUUUUUUUUUUUACUAGAUUACAGAAGAAGAAGAAUAACUCAAAUUUUACAAAAGUGAUUUUUAAGUGAAAGUGAUUAAGACUUAGAAGAGAUAAUGGUAUUGUAAUGUCUACACUUUCUCAGUUUCUGUCUCGAUCGUAUAUUGAUGCUUUGACUGACGACAAUUCCACCUUAACAGUAGUACCAGAAACAAAUAAUUGAGUCUUAUCAAUUAUGAUGCAUGAUUAUUUUUUAAUGACCCACUUGUAUAUUGUGUACUAAAAUAUCUACAAAUUUGUAUAUUGUAAAAAGAAUCCCAUAUUCUUCUGCUAAUCAAGUUGCACUAUAUACGCCGAAUCAAUAAUUAAGGUAAUUUAAAAAUUGUAAUAAACUAUUAACGAAUAUAAAGUUUUUAAAAAGAAAAAAAGACAACAAAGACUCGAGAAAAUGAUAUUUGCCAUGACAAAAUUCCAAAAUGG